GCGCAGUAAACGAUGAAUGCUCGCGAUGUGGUAAUUGUAUUGCGUCGCCAAGCGAAAGCGUUAAGCAUUCCACCUGGGGAGUACGCCGGCAACGGUGAAACUCAAAGGAAUUGACGGGGGCCCGCACAAGCGGAGGAACAUGUGGUUUAAUUCGAUGAUACGCGAGGAACCUUACCCGGGCUUGAAAUGUGACCGACAGGACCCAGAGACGGGUCCCUCCUUCGGGCGGUCAUGUAGGUGCUGCAUGGUUGUCGUCAGCUCGUGCCGUGAGGUGUCGGCUUAAGUGCCAUAACGAGCGCAACCCCUCCCGCCGGUUACCAUCAAGUAGUGUUGGGGACUCCGGCGGCACUGCCACCGCAAGGUGCGAGGAAGGCGGGGAUGACGUCAAAUCAGCACGGCCCUUACGUCCGGGGCCACACACGUGUUACAAUGGGGGGCACAGAGAGCUGGCGCAUGGCGACAUGGGUCGAAUCAUGAAAUCCCCUCCCAGUUCGGACUGGAGUCUGCAACCCGACUCCACGAAGCUGGAUUCGCUAGUAAUCGCGCAUCAGCCAUGGCGCGGUGAAUACGUUCCCGGGCCUUGUACACACCGCCCGUCAAGCCAUGAAAGUCGGGGGCGCCUGAAGUCCGUAGCCGUCGAGGCGCGGCCUAGGGCGAUACCGGUGAUUGGGGCU
rnacentral:rRNA from 1 species